ACUGAGAAACAGGGGUGCCCUUAUUGCUGGAUAAUUUGAUUGUCGACAACUCAAAUUGUCUCCUAAAACUGAAUUUUCAUUCAGAGUCCAUAUUUAUAAGGGCUGAGAAAUACCCAUCGAACCUGUCGGGUAAUGCCGUCGUAGGGAUAAUGUGAUGUUUUUAG
rnacentral:ncRNA from 1 species